rnacentral:rRNA from 1 species
GAUGAACGCUGGCGGCGUGCUUAACACAUGCAAGUCGAACGAUGAAGCCCAGCUUGCUGGGUGUUUUAGUUGCGAACGGGUGGGUGACACGGGAGUAACCUGCCCUUAACUCUGUGAUAGGCCUUGACGACGGGGACUAAUACCGAAUAGGAGCUUCCACCUCCUGGUGGGUGUUGGAAAGAUUUAUCGGUUUUGGAUGGACUCGCGGCCUAUCAGCUUGUUUGUUAGGUAAUGGCUCCCCAAGGCGACGCCGGGUAGCCGGCCUGUGAGGGGGACCGGCGACACUGGGACUGAGACACGGACCAGACUCGUACGGGAGGCAGCAGUGGGGAAUAUUGCACAAUGGGCGCAAGCCUGAUGCAGCGACGCCGCGUGAGGGAUGACGGCCUUCGGGUUGUAAACCUCUUUCAGUAGGGAAGAAGCGAUAGUGACGGUACCUGAAGAAGAAGCACCGGCUAACUACGUG